ACUACACCAGCCAAAUGUUAGACUAUACAUAUAAUAAUAAUCUUCACCGCUUAGAAGCUUGAUAAGUUCACAUUGGUUAAGAGUUGGUAAGAUCAACUGCCCAAAAGAUAACAAGAAACAGCCUUGAGCAUUAUAUAAGACAUGAUUAAAAUAAUUCAACAUAAUUAUUCCGUAGAAAAUAUUAGCAUUUUCAGCUUUCAUCUAAUUGUUCAGACAUAAGCCAUACAUUAUUAGACAUGAUCAAAUCUGGCUAAGAGAACACAUAUACAGGAUGACUAUACAAUGUUUCUGCUUUUAAAAGAGAAUGUCCAUGGUUAGAAAUAUAAAAAAAGAGUUCCAUUUGUCACAGUUCUAAAAUAAUGUAAAAGAUUUCAUUUAAAAAUAGCCAAGAACACACUUAGUAAUGACAGCCACCUUGAGAAAAUUACAGAUGUGAACUGAUAAUUACAGACACUUAAAACACAGGAAACAAUUUGUCUAUCUAUCAAGAGAUAAUUUGAAAUCCAAAGUUUCCCCACUUAAAACUACUAACAUCUACAAAUGUUUACAAUGACCCAAUUGAACAUUUCACCAAAUUUAGUAAGAUACAGGCAACUAGAUAUAGUGAACAAACAUCAAAGUUCUUUGCUUUUAGCUGGAGGGACAUAUUCUUCUUUUAACCUUUUGCUUGCAUUUAAUACUGCACUUGAUUAAACAGAAGCUACUUUUAGAUCCUAACCUAGUAUGUCAACACUAAAACUGAAUGUGUGUGUUCCCAAGACAUUGAAGCUACAAAUACAAAAUAUGAAUACUGACAUCAUGCAAACAAAUAUUUUA